UACGUAGGGGGCAAGCGUUGUCCGGAUUCAUUGGGCGUAAAGAGCGUGUAGGCGGCCAGGUAGGUCGGUUGUGAAAACUGGAGGCUCAACCUUCAGAGGUCGACCGAAACCAUCUGGCUAGAGUCCGGGAGAGGAGAGUGGAAUUCCUGGUGUAGCGGUGAAAUGCGCAGAUAUCAGGAAGAACACCCGUGGCGAAAGCGGCUCUCUGGAACGGUACUGACGCUGAGGAGCGAAAGCGUGGGGAGCGAAUAGG
rnacentral:rRNA from 1 species